AGCCACCUUGCCAUACAAGCUGAGGCCCCCAUGCCCUACCUAGGGAAUCCAUCGGAAAGGAAUGGCACGUCAAGAUUGCAAAGUGUCUUCAAUUCAUAACUUGGCACUUAUUGAAACAUUGUGACGUCAACAAUGAAUGAACAAAAGCGAAGCAAACCUGAGUGGAACAAAAUAUAUCGUGCUGACAACAACAUGUCAAUGAAGUAACAGCAUAUUUUUCUCG